AAAUGAAUUGACGGGGACCCGCACAAGCGGUGGAUCAUGUUCUUUAAUUCGAGGCUAAGCGAAGAACCUUACCAGGGCUUGACAUCCCGAGAAGGCCUCCGAAAGGAGACUGUGCCUUUUAGGAACUCGGUGACAGGUGAUGCAUGGCCGUCGUCAGCUCGUGUCGUGAGAUGUUUGGUUAAGUCCAUCAACGAGCGCAACCCUUGCGAAUAGUUGUAUUUUUCUAUUCGGACUGCUUCGGUAACGGAGAGGAAGGGGGGGAUGAUGUCAGGUCAGUAUUUCCCUUACGUCCUGGGCUAGAAACGUGAUACAAUGGCCGGUACAAUGCGCAGCGAAACCGCGAGGUGGAGCAAAUCGCACUCAAAGCCGGUCCCAGUUCGGAUUGGAGGCUGAAACUCGCCUUCAUGAAGUCGGAAUCGCUAGUAAUCGCAGAUCAGCAUGUUGCGGUGAAUACGUUCCCGGGUCUUGUACACACCGCCCGU
rnacentral:rRNA from 1 species